UUUUAGAUAAACCUAGGUUUUCAUGCCUAACGUUUAACUGUUCGUCUCAUAUAAAUUUUUUUUAUAAUUAGUAUUUUUAUUGUUGUUAGAUGAUAAAACAUGAUUAAUACUUUAAGCAUGAUUUGUCUUUUUAAUUUUUUUUAUAAUUUUUUUAAAUAAAACGAACGGUUAAAUGUUGGACACGAAAAUCUAUAUUUAUG
rfam:Oryza sativa Japonica Group DNA, chromosome 9, cultivar: Nipponbare, complete sequence.